GCAAGUCGAGCGGACCGAUGGGAGCUUGCUCCUUUAGGUUAGCGGCGGACGGGCUGAGUAACACGUGGGCAACCUGCCCUGCAGACUGGGAUAACUUCGGGAAACCGGAGCUAAUACCGGAUAACGCCGAAAACCGCAUGGUUUUCGGUUGAAAGGCGGCUUUUAGCUGUCACUGCAGGAUGGGCCCGCGGCGCAUUAGCUAGUUGGUGAGGUAACGGCUCACCAAGGCGACGAUGCGUAGCCGACCUGAGAGGGUGACCGGCCACACUGGGACUGAGACACGGCCCAGACUCCUACGGGAGGCAGCAGUAGGGAAUCUUCCGCAAUGGACGAAAGUCUGACGGAGCAACGCCGCGUGAGCGAAGAAGGUCUUCGGAUCGUAAAGCUCUGUUGUCAGGGAAGAACAAGUGCCGUUCGAACAGGGCGGUACCUUGACGGUACCUGACGAGGAAGCCACGGCUAACUACGUGCCAGCAGCCGCGGUAAU
rnacentral:rRNA from 1 species